AUUGAACGCUGGCGGCAGGCCUAACACAUGCAAGUCGAGCGGUUGACGGGAGCUUGCUCCUUGAUUCAGCGGCGGACGGGUGAGUAAUGCCUAGGAAUCUGCCUGGUAGUGGGGGACAACGUUUCGAAAGGAACGCUAAUACCGCAUACGUCCUACGGGAGAAAGCAGGGGACCUUCGGGCCUUGCGCUAUCAGAUGAGCCUAGGUCGGAUUAGCUAGUUGGUGGGGUAAUGGCUCACCAAGGCGACGAUCCGUAACUGGUCUGAGAGGAUGAUCAGUCACACUGGAACUGAGACACGGUCCAGACUCCUACGGGAGGCAGCAGUGGGGAAUAUUGGACAAUGGGCGAAAGCCUGAUCCAGCCAUGCCGCGUGUGUGAAGAAGGUCUUCGGAUUGUAAAGCACUUUAAGUUGGGAGGAAGGGCAGUAAGCUAAUAUCUUGCUGUUUUGACGUUACCGACAGAAUAAGCACCGGCUAACUCUGUGCCAGCCGCCGCGGUAA
rnacentral:rRNA from 1 species